rnacentral:rRNA from 1 species
UACGUAGGGGGCAAGCGUUGUCCGGAUUUAUUGGGCGUAAAGAGCUCGUAGGCGGCUUGUCGCGUCGUUCGUGAAAACUUGGGGCUCAACCCCAAGCUUGCGGUCGAUACGGGCAGGCUAGAGUUCGGUAGGGGAGACUGGGAAUUCCUGGUGUAGCGGUGAAAUGCGCAGAUAUCAGGAGGAACACCGAUGGCGAAGGCAGCUCGCUGGGACGGUACUGACGCUGAGGCGCGAAAGCGUGGGGAGCAAACAGG